rnacentral:lncRNA from 1 species
UUUAUGGUCUCUUCAUUCAUUGGCUCAGUUUGACGGGCAAUGUGUUGGGUUCUCCUCGGCUACAAACCCUUCCUUGGGUGAUGACCUCCCCUCCUAUCUUCGUGAGUGGGAUCACGUUGCUUCUCAACUGAAUACGAGGUCGUCGAUUCCAAACUUCCAACUCUGGUGUACUCUUUCUCAAUUUCACGACGGGAAUGGUUCACACAAUGCAUCUCUCCUCCUCUGACAUCGACAUCCAUAGGUCUCCUUCUAUCUUCUUCCAUUUUCUCAUGUAUGAUUUACCUCAGGUUCACCAACUACGAUAGUUUAAUUAAUCUUCAAGCUUCCACACAAGUGUAACCCUAGCUUGUUCUAGACAUAUUGGGAGUCGUCAUCAAUCUCAACCAAAUGAAGCGCUACAAAUUAACACUGCUUCGAUUGAGGAAGCUUUCUACAACAAUCUGAAGAAUAGGGAAGAAGAAGAUGAUGAUGACUCCAGCGAGUCAGUCUCUGAAGAAGAAAUUAUCACGAUGGAAGAACCAGAGUCUGAAGAGGAAGAAGAUACAGAGUACAAGGCGGAUGACUCAGCUGACAAGGAGGAGGAUGACACGGCAAGUCGUCCAAUCAGAAUCCGACAAGUUCCACAAAGGUAUGAAGAUUUUAUUAUGGGUUAGUUUCUAUAUUUUUUAAAUGUAAUAGUUGCAAAAACAAAAUUUAAGUUUUUCUAUAUUUCAAUUCAGCAGUACAUGUAACUCCCUAUAAAAGGGCCCCAAUUGUAAUUCCCAAAUUAUGCAAAUAAAGAAUCAACUUUUCCCCUACUGUAAAUCAGAGGGAUACUAUUCGCGCCCAAUCUGUUCAAGAUAAACAGGAAUUUAAAUCUCCGACCAAAUCCCUACAGGAUUGUUCUGGCUGGAAUUCGUCUCCCGUUUCCGUCCACUGGAGUUUCAUUGCCUUUAGGAAUUCAAUCGGAAAUCUCUCAGCUACGUGUUGUAGCACCGCGUGUGUCUCUAAAAUCAAGGAUCAUUCCGAUCUGUUGAUCGGAGACUUUACUUGAUCAAUUUAGGUCAUCAACUUGUUAAAUUCAUAGCUCUGUCUCAUACAUCUUGAUCGCCCAAUUGAAUUUGUCAAGGUUUCUGUAUAGAUUUUUAAAUAUAAAAAUCGAUCUUGUUUCACCUCGCUACAGAUAAUGACAAUCCGAUCGAUCUAAAUCAUGGAUACUCCACUUGUCGUGGAUGAUCUGGAGUAAGCGGAACGCCAAGGUGAAGGCUGGCAGAACGCAGUCAAUUAAAUGAAGUAGCUAUUCACAAUAAUCAUCCGAUAAGCAAACCACAAGAAGCGGCAUUACUUUUUUUUGAUAACGAAGGAAAACUCUCUACAGAUAUAAAACUGUCAACCUUUGGAUAAUAUACCAAGCCACAUAAUAUAUUAACGAAUAAAUUUAAGUGGAAAUAUAUAAAGUAAGAUUUAAUAGUUUAUUAGACUAGUGAGUCGACCUUAUUUGUAAAAAGCGGUGCCACACAGUCACGGCUAAGUUGUGUGUUUUAUGAUUGGAGGAAAUCUAAUAUGUCGACGUUUAAACCAACCAAACAAACAAAUAAAAUCUCUUCAAUAUAUCCCGACUGAGGGUAUUAUUGUCUUUUUGACUUGAUUUCGAAAUUCUUUUUAUUUUUUAUUUUUAUUGAUUAAUAAAUAAUUCAUGUCGAAAUUAUUAUAAAAAUUAAAAUGACCCCCUCCAAAAAUGGUAAUAUGACAGAAAAUUCCCCCCUGUCUGUGACUAAAGACAGUGGAAACCCCCAUAUCUGGAACCCAAAAGAGAGGAUAAAAACACCAGGUCACCAGGAACCAGCAGGAGAAAAAAGAGGACGGCGACGGCGAGGAGAGGACGACUCCAUAGCCGUACAAUUAUUGAGUUGAUAGAAGGAGAAACCAGAUUCCAAUUCAUUCGUAAGACCAAAACUUGUGUUCUACUUCUACAGUAGGGAGAAAUAGAAAAAUAGAAAAAAUCAGUAAAAAAAAUGCUGGACCAGGGCACUAUACAGCACAGUACCAGUCCAUUAUCAUCUCCUGCCCUAUUAGUUAAAAAGAAAGAUGGGGUUUUUAAACUUUGUGUAGACUAUAGGGCUCUCAAUGCACUGACAAUUAAGGAUAAAUUCCCCAUUCCUACAAUAGAUGAAUUACUUGGAGAAUUAAAUGGUGCUUGUAUUUUUUCUAAACUAAACUCAAGGUCAGGAAUUCAUUAAAUUCGGGUAAACCCCAAGGACAUUUAUAAAACUGUUUUUAGAACUCACCAUGAGCAUUUUGAGUUCUUAGUAAUGCCUUUUGACCUUACCAAUGCACCUUCCACAUUUCAGUCCAUUAUGAAUGAUGUAUUUCAGCCUAUCCUUAGAAAAUAUGUCAUGGUGUUUUUUGAUGACAUAUUAGUAUACAACUAUAAUUUGAAUGAUCACAUAAAACAUCUAAAUGAAGUUUUUCAGAUAUUGGGAAAAAAUUAGCUUUUGGCAAAAAAAUCUAAAUGUUCUUUUGGAAGAGAUAAUAUUAAUUUUUUAGGUCACAUUAUUUCUGGAAAGGGAUUGGAACCAGAUCUAGUUAAAAUUUGUGCUAUGACAGAGUGGCCUAUUCCUCAAAAUAUUAAACAAUUGAGAGGGUUUCUAGGGUUAACUAGAUAUUACAGAAAAUUCAUUAAACAUUAUGCACACAUGGCUUUCCCUAUGACAGAUCUUCUAAAGAAGGAUGUUUUUCUAUGGUCUGAAUUAGUGACAGAUAGCUUCAAUAAACUCAAGGAAGCUAUGACUGCAACACCUGUCCUGAGGUUUCCAGAUUUUUCAAAAACCUUCUUUGUAGAAACAGAUGCUUGUCUAGUUGGUAUUGGGGUUGUUCUUUUGCAGGAUGAUCAUCCUAUUUCUUAUUAUAGUUGUAAAUUGGGAGGAGGGCAGCCGCUUCUAUAUAUGGCAAGGAAAUGUUUGCAAUUACACAAGCAGUUGGCAAAUGAAGGCACUACCUAUUGGGUAAUUUGCAAUCAGAACAAAUCACAAAACACUUAAAAACAUGCUUACACAGGUUAUACGUACAGACUCCUGAGCAGCAAGAAUUUUUAUUCAAACUCCUUGGGUACCAAUUCUCUAUUGAAUACAGACCAGGCAAAGAAAAUACAGUGGCUGAUGCACUUUCCAGGUCUUUGAAUGAUUCCAAUGAAGAAAAAGAAAAUUCAGAAAAAAAUUCAGAUAAAUGAAGAUUUUCAGGUUGAGGGUUCUAUUAUGGCUUUAUCAGUUGCAAUCAGUGAUUUAUUUCAGAGGAUUAAAUGGAAACUUGAAACAGAUCAUAGAACUCCAGAGAUUCUAAAAAAAUGCCAAGAUCUCACCAACUCCAAAUAUUCUGAAAAUGGAGGUCAAGUUUAUUAUAAAGGAAAGAUAUUUCUAUUUCUAUUUCCUGAUUCUGAAUCUAUAAACAAUCCUAGAUGAAUUUCAUUCCUCCAACUUAGGGGGACAUGCUGGAAUUGAAAGAACCUUAAAAAGAAUAAAAAAUGUAUUUUGAUGGUAAAAGAUGGAGAAAAGAAUUAAACAUUUUGUUGAUGAGUGUGCAAUCUAUUAAAAAUCUAAAUCUAGCAACUCAAAGCCAAAUGGCCUACUCAUGCCACUACCUAUCCCUCAAAGUAUUUGGCAAGACAUUUCCAUGGAUUUUAUAACUCAUCUGCCUAAAGUUAAGGGAAAGACGGUCAUAAUGGUGGUGGUAGACAGACUCUCCAAAUUUUGUCAUUUAAGAGCACUACCCUCAGAUUUUAGUGCCACUAUGGUAGCAGAAUUAUUUAUCCAAAAUAUUAUUAAACUACAUAGAUUUCCUUCUACUAUAGUUUCACAUCAAAAUUCUGAAAAGAAAUUCACAGAUUGAGUGGUACCUCUUUAUGUUUCACGUCUGCAUACCACCCACAAAGUGAUGGACAGACAGAAAUUGUAAACAAGAUAAUUACAAAGUACCUCAGAGCUUCAGUGCACGACAAGCCAAAGAGAUGGUUACAAAUGCUGGCUUGGCCUGAAUUAUGGUAUAAUUCAGCAUUCCACUCUUCAUUAGGGAUGUCACCCUUCAAAGUUUUAUAUGGUAGAGAAGCUCCAUUGAUUCCCAACUUUAAUCCAUUUGAAACAACAGUACCAGCAGUAGAAAUAAACUUGGAGGAGAGGAAGUUAAUUCUGAAAAAUGUUAAAAGAAAUCUGAAUUCAACUCAAGAGAGAAUAAAAUACAAGGCUGCCAAGAAAAGAGAAGAUAUUGAAUUUAAAGUAGAUGAUUGGGUCUUGGUCAGGUUACAACCAUAUAGAUAGAAAACUGUCUCUCUCAAAAUCAAUCAAAAAUUGGACAUGAAAUUUUUCGGACCUUUCAAAAUUAUCAAGAAGAUUAAUGCAUUUGCAUAUAAGCUUAAGCUACUAGAAGGGGGCAAAAUUCACCCUACUUUAUUUUCACAUUUCUAAGCUUAAACUCUACAAGGGCGACAAUCCGGAAAAAGGAAGUACCAAAUAUCCCUAAGUAUUCAAUUCUAAAUCAACCAAUUAUGAUUCCUGUUGCUUUCACAGAUUAUAGAGUAAUCUACAAUAAAGAAGUAAAAGUACCUCAAUUACUGGUAAGAUGGUCUGAUUCCGUUAUGGAAGAUACCACUUGGGAAGACAUCACAGCUUUGAACAAGAUUUAUCCCGACCUCAACCUUGAGGACAAGGUUUUAGAAGAGGAGGUGAGACAUGAAGCGCUACAAAUUAACACUGCUCCGAUUGAGGAAGCUUUCUACAACAAUCUGAAGAAUAGGGAAGAAGAAGAAGAUGACGACUCCAGCGAGUCAGUCUCUGAAGAAGAAAUUAUCACGAUGGAAGAACCAGAGUCUGAAGAGGAAGAAGAUACAGAGUACAAGGCGGAUGACUCAGCUGACAAGGAGGAGGAUGACACGGCAAGUCGUCCAAUCAGAAUCCGACAAGUUCCACAAAGGUAUGAAGAUUUUAUUAUGGGUUAGUUUCUAUAUUUUUUAAAUGUAAUAGUUGCAAAAACAAAAUUUAAGUUUUUCUAUAUUUCAAUUCAGCAGUACAUGUAACUCCCUAUAAAAGGGCCCCAAUUGUAAUUCCCAAAUUAUGCAAAUAAAGAAUCAACUUUUCCCCUACUGUAAAUCAGAGGGAUACUAUUCGCGCCCAAUCUGUUCAAGAUAAACAGGAAUUUAAAUCUCCGACCAAAUCCCUACAGGAUUGUUCUGGCUGGAAUUCGUCUCCCGUUUCCGUCCACUGGAGUUUCAUUGCCUUCAGGAAUUCAACCGUAAAUCUCUCAGCUACGUGUUGUAGCACCACGUGUGUCUCUAAAAUCAAG